GACGAACGCUGGCGGCGUGCUUAACACAUGCAAGUCGAACGGAAAGGCCCUGCUUGCAGGGUACUCGAGUGGCGAACGGGUGAGUAACACGUGGGUGAUCUGCCCUGCACUUCGGGAUAAGCCUGGGAAACUGGGUCUAAUACCGGAUAGGAGCCAUUUUUAGUGUGAUGGUUGGAAAGUUUUUUUCGGUGUAGGGUGAGCUCGCGGCCUAUCAGCUUGUUGGUGGGGUAAUGGCCUACCAAGGCGGCGACGGGUAGCCGGCCUGAGAGGGUGGACGGCCACAUUGGGACUGAGAUACGGCCCAGACUCCUACGGGAGGCAGCAGUGGGGAAUAUUGCACAAUGGGCGCAAGCCUGAUGCAGCGACGCCGCGUGGGGGAUGACGGCCUUCGGGUUGUAAACUCCUUUCGCUAGGGACGAAGCUUUUUGUGACGGUACCUAGAUAAGAAGCACCGGCUAACUACGUG
rnacentral:rRNA from 1 species